rnacentral:rRNA from 1 species
ACCCCGACUAUCGGAGGGGUGCGUUUGUUACUUCAAAUCAAUCGGACUUCGGUCUGAUAUCAAAUGAAAUUGAACAAUUUAGCUGAUCGCACGGUCUUGAACCGGCGACAUAUCCUUCAAACGUCUGCCUUAUCAACUGUCGAUGGUAGAUUAUGCGCCUACCAUGGUUGUAACGGGUAACGGAGAAUCAGGGUUUGAUUCCGGAGAGGGAGCCUGAGAAACGGCUACCACAUCCAAGGAAGGCAGCAGGCACGCAAAUUACCCACUCCCGGCACGGGGAGGUAGUGACGAAAAAUAACAAGCUGGUCUCUAUGAGUUCCGGCAUUGUAAUGGGAACAAUUUAAAUCAUUUAUCGAGGAUCUAUUGGAGGGCAAGUCUGGUGCCAGCAGCCGCGGUAAUUCCAGCUCCAAUAGCGUAUAUUAAAGUUGUUGCGGUUAAAAAGCUCGUAGUUGGAUCUACGACCAAGUCUUGUGGUCGCUCUGCCUGAGUGAACUGCAUUGACUGGGUCCAUUUAUCUAGUAUUCGAUUGAUGCUCUUCACUGAGUGUCUCUAGUUGCUGGAACUUUUACCUUGAAAAAAUUGAAGUGCUCAAAGCAGGCUAAAGCCUGAACAUUGCUGCAUGGGAUAAUAGAAUAGGACUUCGGUUCUAUUUUGUUGGUUUCGGAACACGAAGUAAUGAUUAAUAGGGACAGACGGGGGCAUUCGUAUUGCUGCGUUAGAGGUGAAAUUCUUGGAUCGUAGCAAGACGAACUACUGCGAAAGCAUUUGCCAAGAAUGUUUUCAUUAAUCAAGAACGAAAGUUAGAGGUUCGAAGGCGAUCAGAUACCGCCCUAGUUCUAACCGUAAACGAUGUUAACUAGCGAUCCGCAGUAGAUACUUUAACGGCUCUGCGGGGAGCUCCCGGGAAACCUAAGUGUUCGAAUUCCGGGGGAAGUAUGGUUGCAAAGCUGAAACUUAAAGGAAUUGACGGAAGGGCACCACCAGGAGUGGAGCUUGCGGCUUAAUUUGACUCAACGCGGGGAAACUCACUUGGUCAGGACACUGUAAGGAUUGACAGAUUGAAAGCUCUUUCUUGAUUCGGUGGAUGGUGGUGCAUGGCCGUUCUUAGUUGGUGGAGUGAUUUGUCUGGUUAAUUCCGAUAACGAACGAGACUCUAACUUGCUAACUAGUCGCAGUUUUAUUCAGACUGUCGAGCUUCUUAGAAGGACAGGGGGUGCCAACCCCACGAGAUUGAGCAAUAACAGGUCUGUGAUGCCCUUAGAUGUCCAAGGCCGCACGCGUGCUACACCGAAGACAUAAACACGCCCACCUAACUAAAAAGGGUA